AGCAAUGUCUGGAUAAAUCUUGGUACCCAAACGUAACAGAGUAUCGGUGUGUUGUAACAACAAUGGCCUAUGUGAUGAAUACAAAGGAUGGAAAGAUUUAUAGGAACUGAUGGAGAAUGGAAUAAGCAGAGCCAAGAAAACGAGGCCCGGGGACUACACCAAUGUCAACGGAAAGCACCAGCAGACACGGAAAAGAAUGAGAAAGGGAAUUAACAAGAUCAUCGCCAUAAAGCUCCAUCUGAAAGAAGGGAUGUGAGGGCCCCAAUCCAUCCCUUCUUCACGUGACAACGCAGCCACUUAGGGGUCCAGUCCCAGGCCAGCAUCCCCUCCCGGCCCGUCUCCUCCUUCUCCCUCUCCACCAGGAGGCAGCCCGGACCUUUGAUGGCGUCACCUCUAGCCUGCACCGGGUCCGAGGACCACUGUCAGCUUGUCCCGGAGCUUGGAAAGGGAGUGUCCUUGCCUGGCACCCGCAGGGGCCGAGCCGCGUCACCCCGAUCAUUUUCCCUGGGCUGGAUGCUCCCAGUCUGUACCAGGAGGCUGUAUUUAAAAGUGCAAGGAGGGAAAGCGCUCUGGCCGGGGGGAUCCUUGUUUUGUGUCUGUGCGCGCUUUAAAGAUUACGGAGAGACAGCGAGACCCACUGGCCUUGACGGUUAUAAGAUACAGGGGGAGGAAGACCUAACUGAGGGACCCCGCUCUGAAGGAUUCUAACCUAGAGACUCGGCCCCAGCGUCUCCCCCAAUUCAGAGCCUUCCUCCUUCCUGUCUCCAUUAUUUUGAGCUAUUACUUGGAGAAGGGGUGUGUGCGUAUGUGCUUGGUGCCUGAUGAAAGCAAAAAAAAAAAAAAAAAAAAAAAAAAAAAA